AGUGUAAAAAGCGAGAAAUUUGCAUACGAUUUCGGCUCGUAUCUUAUGGGUGCGAGUCCCUUUUUGCACUG
rnacentral:tRNA from 1 species